rnacentral:rRNA from 1 species
UACGUAGGGCGCAAGCGUUGUCCGGAAUUAUUGGGCGUAAAGAGCUCGUAGGCGGCUUGUCACGUCGGGUGUGAAAGCCCGGGGCUUAACUCCGAACGGCCAAGUGAUACUGCUGUGCUAGAGUGCAGAAGGGGCAACUGGAAUUCUCGGUGUAGCGGUGAAAUGCGUAGAUAUCGAGAGGAACACCUGCGGCGAAGGCGGGUUGCUGGGCUGACACGUGACGCUGAGGCGCGAAAGCUAGGGGAGCGAACGGG